GGGAAGAGAUGACUCGCGAGCAGGACUUAUCCGAGUGAGGAGCUGAACACAGAGAGGGACCCCAUCAUGGAAGAGGAGCUGCCCGCACCUAAGGAUGCAAUAAGUGUCUGUCGUUUCUGCGCGGCAGGAUCGAAAUCAGAUGACGCAGAACAGCGAGGUGGAAACGUGUCACGUCCCUCGCAGGACAGGAGGUCUGUUUCUGUCUUUGGUUAUCUAGCUGUAUGAGUUUUAAAUCCCUGUCAUAAAGCUAGAUAACCGAAAGUAGAAAUGACUUCCAUUACUGACGUCUACAGACUGCAAGAGGAUUGAUGCUGUCUCCAAAAGCUCCUCCAGGCCUUCAGCCUCCCAUGGCCACAGCAGACCCCUCAGAGCGAGGGAUGAACCAACACGGUAGUGAGGAAGAAGAAGAAGAAGAAGAGGCAUCGGAGGACGAAAUCCUUCCCGCCCUUUUUCAGCCCUCAACCGCCUCUCAGCAUCACGGCAUCGCAGCAUCACGGCGUCACGGCGUCACGGCAGCGCAGCAUCUGUGCCGCCACCGGGCCACGCGGUCCACGGUGCCAACAGACGGACAAAGACACCCACCCCCCCCCCCCCCCCGGCCCGAGCUGGCCCCCGGUUCCCUGCGGACCAAUGGGAGAAGCCAUCUUGGGAGAGGGUUGCCGUGGCAGCCAAGAUGGCUGGGCUGGCACACACGAGUGCCACGAUGGAGCAGAGUGGAGACCUGGUCUGGGAUCUGGUCUGAGAUCUGGGAUAUGGGAUCCUGGAGUCACCCUCAGAGUCCCACCCACUGAUCCAGGAAUGGACACAACACCUAUAAUCCAAUGUUUAUUGUACUAUCUGCUCCAAAGUACUGAUGUGUUGGAUUCGGAUUCAUAGACUGCUUUAUCAGUCCAGAGGGAAAUGGAUUCUGACACAAUUUCUCAAAUCAAGAUCGAAAAAAUAAUAAAGAAUAUAAAUAUAAUAGGUAAAAAAUAUAAACACACAAAAGCCUAAUACUUAUUAUAAUUGCUCAUCUGUUGGGAUAACGAUGAUACAUUAAAUAAUAUAGGAUAUAUUUCAAUGUAUUUUGCAGAAUCUUUUGUUUAUAAUGGAGCUACUACAGAUUCAAGAGCAGUCGGCUCUGAGAGGGAUAUUCAGGAAACACAACAAUUAGCAGUCAUAGUCAAAAGCCAUUGUAAUUGUUUAGUAUUUCUCCUGUAUUUAAAAGAACAGUGUACUGCAUACUUUAAUUCAUGGAUUAAUACCGUUUUUUUUUAUGUUAGAGGAUUCCUAUUCUCUAAAAUAAGAGGAUUAUAUCCUCUUUUUCAUGAAUGAAGUUUUCAACACGGAUGAAUGAAGUGAAUACAGCUGUAUUUAUUUAGCAACAUAUUGCACUGUAAAGAAAUAAAUUGUAAUCUCAGUUGUUUAUUUUCCCAUGCUGUCAAUGCAAUUUAUUGGUUUCGAUGUUUUAUGUUUUGAUUUUGGU
ensembl:lncRNA uncharacterized LOC115551464